UGCAAGUCGAACGGCAGCACGGACUUCGGUCUGGUGGCGAGUGGCGAACGGGUGAGUAAUGUAUCGGAACGUGCCUAGUAGCGGGGGAUAACUACGCGAAAGCGUAGCUAAUACCGCAUACGCCCUACGGGGGAAAGCAGGGGAUCGCAAGACCUUGCACUAUUAGAGCGGCCGAUAUCGGAUUAGCUAGUUGGUGGGGUAAYGGCUCACAAAGCAC
rnacentral:rRNA from 1 species